rnacentral:rRNA from 1 species
UAGAGUUUGAUCAUGGCUCAGGAUGAACGCUAGCGGCAGGCCUAACACAUGCAAGUCGAGGGGCAGCGGGAGUGCUUGCACUCGCCGGCGACCGGCGCACGGGUGCGGAACGCGUAUCGAAUCUGCCUCUAUCUGGGGGAUACCCCAUGGAAACGUGGAAUAAUACCCCAUAGUAUUACUUUAUCGCAUGAUUUAGUAAUUAAAGAAUUUCGGAUAGAGAUGACGAUGCGUAUCAUUAGCUAGUAGGUAAGGUAACGGCUUACCUAGGCAACGAUGAUUAGGGGUCCUGAGAGGGAGAUCCCCCACACUGGUACUGAGACACGGACCAGACUCCUACGGGAGGCAGCAGUGAGGAAUAUUGGACAAUGGUCGAAAGACUGAUCCAGCCAUGCCGCGUGCAGGAUGAAUGCCCUAUGGGUUGUAAACUGCUUUUAUACGGGAAGAAAAACACCUACGUGUAGGUGACUGACGGUACCGUAAGAAUAAGGACCGGCUAACUCCGUGCCAGCAGCCGCGGUAAUACGGAGGGUCCAAGCGUUAUCCGGAAUCAUUGGGUUUAAAGGGUCCGUAGGCGGGCUAUUAAGUCAGAGGUGAAAGUUUGCAGCUCAACUGUAAAAUUGCCUUUGAUACUGAUAGUCUUGAAUUGUAGUGAAGUGGUUAGAAUAUGUGGUGUAGCGGUGAAAUGCAUAGAUAUCACAUAGAAUACCGAUUGC